rnacentral:rRNA from 1 species
UAAGCCAGUGAGGGCCGGAUUAGUAGUUGGGUCGGUGACGACCAGCGAAUACCUGGUGUUGUAUGUC